rnacentral:sRNA from 1 species
GUGCAGCCAGGGGCUUCCGGCCGCGGCCCCGGCGAGUGGUCUGCGCGCGCCCGGCCGUGCGUGCGGAUGCGGGGAGGCUGCGUGUGUGCGCAGGGCGAGAGCGCAGGCCACCUUCCCGCUUCCCAGCUGGGUGCGCGCCGAGCACAGGAGGGUGCAAUCCGUGCCUUGCGUCGCCCGUGUCGCUCCAGCCACCGUCAAAUCCGGGUAGCGACGCGGGGCGUUUACAGCGGUGCCGAGGAAGAGGACGGAAACGGUGUUACGAUUGCCUGCGUUUAGGAGGUAGCUGCAUUGUGGGAAAAGCUAUCAAGGAAGAAAUUGCCAAAUCGUGUUUUUUUGUUUUCAGAGUAGUUCACAACAGAUCUGAGUUUUAAUUAAAGCAUGGAAUACAGAAAACUACAAAAAACUUAAGCUUUAAUUUCAUCUGGAAUUCCACAGUUUUCUUAGCUCCCUGGACCCGGUUGACCUGUUGGCUCUUCCCGCUGGCUGCUCUAUCACGUGGUGCUCUCGGACUACUCACCCCGAGUGUAAAGAACCUUCAGCUCACGUGCU